rnacentral:rRNA from 1 species
UACGUAGGGUGCAAGCGUUAAUCGGAAUUACUGGGCGUAAAGCGUGCGCAGGCGGUUUUUAAGUCAGAUGUGAAAUCCCCGGGCUUAACCUGGGAACUGCGUUUGAAACUACAAGGCUAGAGUGUGGCAGAGGGGGGUGGAAUUCCACGUGUAGCAGUGAAAUGCGUAGAGAUGUGGAGGAACACCGAUGGCGAAGGCAGCCCCCUGGGUUAACACUGACGCUCAGGCACGAAAGCGUGGGGAGCAAACAGG